UUUUUUUUUUUUCUUUUUUAGGGCCACACCUCCGGCACAUGGAGUUCCCAGGCUAGGAGUCGAAUCAGAGCUACAGCUGCUGGCCUACACCACAGCCACAGCAACGCCAGAUCCCUGCUGUCUGCCACCCACACCACAGCUCACGGCAACGCCAGAUCCUUAACCCACUGAGCAAGGCCAGAGAUAGAACCCCUGUCCUCAUGGAUACUAGUCGGGUUUGUCACCACUGAGCCACAACAGGAACUCCUUUUCCUUUAAUUAUUGAAUGAAAUAUUCCAAACUGCUGCUUAAGGCCUUUUCCCGAGUGCUAAGGAACAGAGAACCAUGAAUAAAACAUGGAGCUCUCAGUCUGAGAUAAGAAAAAUGGUGCUGCGGUGAUUCAGGAGAGGGAUGCCUUUGGAGUUAGCGUGGAAAUCAGGACGUCUUCCUGGAGGGGGGAGCCUUCGAGCCAGGACUGGACGGCAGGAUGAGGGGUGAACACAUUUCAGGCAGAGGGGAGGGGACCCGUGCCUCCCACACCUCCAGGGACACCACUCGCCUCACCGUCAUCUCGGAUUUUAACGCCAUCAUGAAUUUUUCCUGACUGAUAGCCAUAAAGUAUCUUGAAAAAGGAGUGGGUUUUUUUUUUUUUUUUUGCCCUAAUUUGCACAAUGUCACCAUGUAACAAGCAGUAUGGCUGCCUCCCAGGGGCUGCAGGCAAAUCUGACUGUCUCAAACUUUGUAACGACAUGGAAGAGCAAUUUUUCCAAAAAUCUGCCAUCACGAUCUGGCCCAGAGUUUCUGUUGUAGCUCAGUGGUUAAAGAAUCCAACUAGGAACCAUGAGGUUGCAGGUUCGAUCCCUGGCUUCGCUCAGUGGGUUAAGGAUCCAGCGUUGCCAUGAGCUGUGGUGUAGGUCGCAGACAAGGCUCGGAUCCCAAGUUGCUGUGGCUCUGGCAGAGGCCGGUAACUUCAGCUCCGAUUAGACCCCUAGCCUGGUAACCUCCAUAUGCCACAGGAGUGGCCCUAGAAAAAGACAAAAAACAAGCAAGGAAAAAAAAAAAGAUCUAGCCCUAAACAACAAGAUCCUCCCAUAGGGCACAGGGAAUUAUAUUCAAUAUCCUGGGAUAAACCACAAUGGGAAAGAAUAUGAAAAACAAUGUGUAUAUAUAUCUGAAUCACUUGGCCGUACAGCAGAAAAAUAACACAACACUGUAAAUCAACUAUAUGUCAAUCAAAUACAUUUUUUAAAAAAGAACUGAGAGUUUCCGCUGUGGCUCAGAGGAUUAUGAACCCGACUGGUAUCUAUGAGAAUUCAGAUUCAAUCCCUGGCCUCACUCAGUGGGUUAAGGAUCUGGCAUUGCUGCAGGCAGUAGCACAGGUCACAGAAAGGGCUCAGAUCACGCGUUGCUGUGGCUGUGGUUUGGGUUCAUCACCACUGAGUCACAACAGGAACUCCCUCAACCUUAAAAUCUUAUUCAGGCAGAACAAUGACAGAGAAAUUAUGGUUAAUUAUUAUUCAACCAACCAUACUAUAUGAAGAUAUACUUCAAGAUAGGAACCACCAAGAAAAGCCAAGAGAAUUUUAAAAUCGAAGCAAAUUCUGUGUAACCCAGUUUUCAGCAACCCUGGCAUUUACCAAGCUUCAGCUCCUUGAAGGGAAUUUUUUUAAGCAAUAACAUAGGGCUUACCUCCUAAUCAGGAAACCUUGUGCUGAACAGGUCUGUGGAUGUUAUAGUCAAAAGCCGGUACCUGAUGGCUAGAGCUACAUCUGUUGAAGUUGUGAAGAACUAGCUUCAUAAAUGGCUUUUCUGCUAAUUUAAGUGAUGGAAUCUCCUGCUCAGUGGUCACUGGAAAGUGAAAGUUUCUUGCAACUUGCCUGUCUUUGUCAUCUACAUUUUUUGGCAGGAUGGUUGUGGCAUUUUAUUUAUUUAUUUAUUUAUUUAUUUAUUUAUUUAUUUAUUUAUUUAUUUAUUUCUGCCGCACCCAAAGUCCAUGGAAGUUCCCAGGCUAGGGGUCAAAUCAGAGCUUCAGCUGCUAGCCUACACUACAGCCACAGCAACACAGGAUCCCAGGGACGUUUUCGACCUGCACCACAGCUCACGGCAACAGCAGAUCCACCUCCCCACUGAGUGAGGCCAGGGAUUGAACCUGUGUCCUCAUGGAUACUAGUCAAAUUCAUUUUCCACUGUGCCACAACCGGAACUCCUGGAGGUGGUAUUUUAAUGUCCAGUGUAUCUUUGGGGGACAUGUAUAUUCUGGAAAAAUUUAUCAAGGCAUCUCCCAGAAGAAGAGGGUGUGAUGGCAUUCCUUUGCCCAUCAUCUUAAAUUCAUGCAGAAAACCAGAAUCUAUAACUCAGUGC
rnacentral:lncRNA from 9 species